GGUGUAGGCGGCUCUAUAAGUCAGGAGUGAAAGCCCCAAGCUUAACUUGGGAAGUGCUUUUGAUACUGCAGAGCUUGAAUGUGGGAGAGGGUAGUGGAAUUCCAGGUGUAGUGGUGAAAUACGUAGAUAUCUGGAGGAACACCGGUGGCGAAGGCGGCUACCUGGCCCAACAUUGACGCUGAGACCCGAAAGCGUGGGGAUCAAACA
rnacentral:rRNA from 1 species